rnacentral:lncRNA from 1 species
UAUUCAAGUUCUAGGCUCAACCUGCAAAACCAAGGUUGGCCGGAGAAUAUUUACAUUAACCCAAAAUAGACAAAACAAUAACUUGUUUCUCCACAUCAACCUCUAAGAGGGACAAAGUAAAGUUAAACAUACAAAGGAGAAUCUAAGUACAGAAUACUAAACAUAAGCUCGAAACACAGAGUCCCAAAUAUAACACUUCGCUUGCAGAAUGAACUCCAGAAACUUAUCGAGGUGCCUCUCGACCUGCAUCUGAAAAUAACAACAUAUAUAUGGUAUGAGAACCGGAGGUUCUCAGCAUGGUAAUAGUGCCCACAUAACUAACAUAUAAGGUCACGGAAAAGUCGAAGGCAAUCCUAGAACUCUAACACUCAGAUUAUAAAACUUAAAGGUAAUAAAUUGUAAACCAUAAGUAGGGUAGAUCAUCUAAGGUUUUAAAUCUGAACUAAACUCUAACUAAAACCCUCCGUCGUCUACUUUCCUCCAAAAUCCCUAAUUCCGGUGGAAGCACACAGAUAAGCAAACAGAUAAUGACAAACACAAGUAGGAUAUCGAUAUAACAGGUAACAAAUAUAGUAGGUAAGCAUAGAUUAUUAAUUAGGCAAUCCCAAGAAAUGCAAACUCAAGCAAAACAAACAAAUGCAAAUGAUAAAUGCCUAUCCUAUGACUGAUGAUAUCAUCUGUCGGUUAUAUAGCCAACCCGACACGUCCUGAUAGCUAAUCAUGGACUGAAACACCCAUUGCGGAGCAAGUGGGUUUGAGAUACAACCCCCUUGCUACUACCCGCUCAACCCAGAGCCAGUGAAAUAACCACUACUGUGGCUACUACCCAGGCGGGUGUUUAAAAGCUCAACCUGGAGCAAGUGGAAUAACCAUUACUGCUGCUACUACCCAGGCGUCACAAUCACUGACUUGGAGCAAGCAGGACGAACUAUCAUCCUUGCUACUGCCCAGGGUCUCAAACAUACAUUCAUUUAGUUUAAAUCAAGCAUCAUCGUUAUCAAAUCUCAAACAUUAACCUAGAGCAAGCGGGACAAACCACCAUCCUUGCUACUACCAAAGUAUCACAAACAUACAUUCAUUCAAAACUCCAUAAUCAAAUUUAUUUUUCAUAAUUCUUCUUCCCUAUCUCCAACCCGAAGCAAGUGGACAAUGUCACUGCCUACUACCCAGUUACAUAUAUCUCUUUAAAUUACAAAUUCUCAUUACUCUCAUCAUCCUCAUCAAAUCAAGCAUCCCUUUUCUCAACUCCUUCGACACCAAUUCUAUCUUCUUUCACUCACUAAUCCUUACUUCGUAACCAAAACCUAACUAAUAGACCUUAAAUAUAGUUUCUGAUUUUUCCUACAACUUCGAAAAUUCAGGUUUUACACAUAACUUUCGACAUCUAUAACCUUCUCUAUGAAAUUCUGUUUUUCAUAAAGUUUAUACAAUCUUAAAGCUUUUAAAAUUAUCUUUAAUUUGAAUCAAAAUUCACUCAAAUUCAAUAUCCGAGGCUCAAGUUAUGAACAGCUGAAGUUCAUUAAAAAUUUGCUUUUCCCAAAAGAGUUCAAAACCUUUAUUUUUUAAAUUCUCAGUUUCAAACCAAGUUUCACAACUCAAAACAACAUUAAAUACACUUAAAACAAUUUCAUAAUCAUUUCUUUCAUUCCACAAUACUUCAACACUCAAUUUCAUCAACUCUAACCCACACAAUCAUAACCAAAGCAACAAUACCUAUAAAUCAUCAAUAUAACAUCAUCAUCAUUUACAAUCAAACUCAAACCUUAUCAUUGCUCAAUAAUUCAGCAACAAAUUCACAUGUUCAACUCCACAGUUUUACCAAUUCACUAAACUUUAACAAGUCAUCUUGGUUCAACCUAACCUACGAUCAACUAGUCUAAGUUUUCACGACACAUUAUAUUUUAGUUACAAGAAACCGAAACCAUAUCUUGGCCGAUUCCUCCCUAAGAUUGAAACGCCUCAAUCAUCCACCGUUUUUCAAGCUCCAAAGCUCCAACUCCUCACCAACUGAAUUUUCAACUCCCAGGAUUCAAUUUCAAGCUUCCAAUAUCCACUAAUUUAACUCCAAAACACCCAAUUCAAUCUAAUACAAUCCAAAUUCACUAUAAUUAACAUAGAGUUUUCUAAUUAAUUAUUCAUAGAGGGUUAAGUGGUUUUUUAUCUUAUCCACUCGAAAUUAGGGUGAAACCCAACAAUUAUUCACUGUUAGAGUACCCUUAAAUCAUCAAAAUCAUAAAAUUUCUCAAUUUCUAAAACCUAAAUCACGAACUGAAAAGGGGAAGACUAGGCAUGAAAUCAGAAUUUUUUUACCAAAUUGUUGGGUGGAUAUUGUAGAUAAUUCCGAGACGAACGCGUGACCGCUGACGGCUCGUCAAUCGGAACUCCGGAUUGAAAGUUACAUGGAAUUGAAUCUUUGGCAAGGGUUUGGUGUUAUAACUUGCAUUCUCCUCCCUCUCUUCAGCUUUCAGCGUGCCUCUCAUUAAGAAAUGAGGAAGAUGGGUUGAGUUUCCUCUUUUAUACGUUAGGCCAUGGGUCCGGUUCAAUCUGUUUAGUUCGUUUAGCCUAAUCUUUGGCUAAAUUUUUUAAAAUUAGUGUCAAAAUUCAUGUUUUAAUUAUUUUUACCACAUUUAACUAUAAAAUUUAAUUUUCUAAUUUUUUUGAAUAAUAAUUUAUUUAUUGGAUACUUAUUUAUUAAUUUCACGGGCCUUACAAACGCGAAGAAAAAUUACGAUGAAUACAUAUACAAACAAAAACAAUAUAGCUAAAGACUUAUAAAAAAAAAGAAUUUUCAAUUUCUCAAAGAAAUAACAAUCUGGUAUUCGAGUUAAAGGCUCAUAUUUUAUUGUUAAUAAGUAUAGAAGUUGUCGUAAUACCUUAACUAUUAGAGUAGCAUAGUCGGAAGCGUGACAUUCUGAUAGUGAGGGUGUUACAUUUAACAUACUUCCCAUUAACCCCUUGGCAAGCAUACAAUACAUCCCUAACCAAAACCUCUUUGAAAACCUCAUUCUCUUCCCUAACCAAAUUGACAAAAUGUUUAAACGCAAGCUUGCGCUUAUUCUCGGAAUCCUUUGAAACUAAUAGAACCUCUUUAACCCAAUCUUUUUUGUUAUUAUCCCCCAAAUGCUUUUACCCUUGCCGAAAUUGGCGUUGUCUUAGAGGGACAAAUUGGACAAGAGGUUAGAAGGACAAUUCUAAAAUUUUGCACCUUUGUAAUCCUUGAAGAUGAUCUUGAUAAGGUAGAUUACCGUCCACUUGUUGUUGACACUACCAAGCCGGUCUUGGAGAACUUGGCAAAGGAGAGAGCAAGAGAAGAGCUUCCAUGGUAGGCGAGGCGGCACUUGACAGAGUCAGCAAUGGCAGCAGUGUCAGGGGCAACAGAGGGGGUAAGACGGUUGCAAAGGAUGCAUUGGGCAUAUCAGAGGGUGUUGAUGAAGUGAGGAGAGUUAAGGUUGGGCUUGGAGUUGGUGGUGGUGGAGCUGUCAUCAUUGGGAGAGGAUGAGAGGAGGCGUAUUACGAGUUUUUGCAUAGAUCUAAAACCUUCAGUUGUAUUUAGGCGCUAAAAAGAAAGUGAUGACGUUUACAAGUUCGUGUGGCUUUUGUCCAAUUAUGUCAUUAAUCUAUCGCUGGAAAAUAUUUUAGGAAUGACUGUUGUUAAGUUUAAGAAUAAAUUUGGGACAGUUUUAAGUUUACAGACGAAAUCAAAACUCGAUUACAAGUUAAGAGACUACUUUAAAAUUUAAAUAUCUUUUAAGAGAUGCAAUUUCAAAAUAGUAAAAGUUUGAAAGUUUUCCACCGAUUUGUAACCAUCUCUACUAUUCAUUAAAAUACUCUAGUUAAAUAGCCUUGAGUGCAUUUUAUAUUAGAAUAUUUAGAGUUACUUUCUUCCUUUUUGUUUUUCUUAUCACUUGGGAGCUGUACAAGAUCAUUGCCGAAGAAGCCUAGUUGAGACAUUAUAUUACUUUGUGUGGUUCUAAUUGUGACAGAAUUUAGUGAAGAAUAGUACUUGCUGUUUUAAUUUUAUUUAAUUUACUGCUUGAAAAAAGUUAUCCAGAAAUAAAUAUAAGGAAAAAGGAUAAAUAAGUUCCUGAGCUUUUAUUUCGUGGACAAUUUCGUCUCUUAGAAUUAAAAAAUACAAAAUUAUUCCUCACUAUUCAAAACGCAUGACGGAUGGGUCCUCCCAUACAAAAUAUUCCCUGCAAAAUACUCCCUGAAACGUAAUAGAAAUUAUUUAUGUGACACUUAUUUGGCAUUUGUGAAAAAGCUUUUAAAACAACCAUCAUCGUUGUAUUUUGUUUGAAGGAUUACCAUGUGUUUAUAACACGCAGCGGAAGAAAAGAAAGUAAUCCUAAAGAUCUAUUUUGUGCUUAAAUUUUAUUCCAAUAAUAAAUAUAUAGUAGAUCAGAUCUAAAUACCUGAGUACGUUAGUAAAAAUCUUUUUCUCCUUCGAUGGUACGAAGGCGCUACGCGUAUCCACACCGAGACAAACCUUUGCUGUCAACUCUUUGACCAAUGGAUAUCUGAUCUAAAUUGAGAACCUCUUUGCAACUUUUUUGCACACCAUAAAAUUUUUCUCCAAGAAUUAGGCUCACAUACACUUAUGUGUGUAGAGGUAAAGGAAUAAAACUCUUGUUAUUCUCGUCUUUGAUUCCUUUACUCUUGGUAUAUAUAUAUAUAGUAUGAGAUUUGCUACUGAUUUUAAAUUUGAAUCCCAAUUCAAAUUUAAAUCAUAUCUUGAAAUUCUAAAUCCGAGUCCUUCAAAUUUAUGAAUCAUAUCAUAACUCAAUUUGAAACAAAAUCAGUUAGGAUCUCAUCCAAAUUUAGAAAUAGAAUAACUAAUUAUUCUCAAAUCUCAUUUAAUAUUCUCAAUUAUCAUACUAUUAUUAUAUUCUUGGUGCUAGCAAAGAAUAUAAUAAUAUUCCAUUUUGAAUUAUGUUUUAUUCAUCUCAGUCAUUAUAAUCAUAGAGCUCAAACUCUUUACCGAGAGUUGAUAGAUUCCUUAUUGGCUAAUCAUUAAUUCUACAAGUAUUUAAAUCAUACCCAAUAUCCAUUCAACUAGCACCCUAGGGUAUUAGGUGUCUGGAAUCAAAGUAUAAUAAAUACAUUGUUAAUUACUAUGAUAGUCACAGGUCAAAGGAAACUCUAUUACUAUGUUCAUCUUGAGAAUAUCCUAUUGACAAAUAUGCGGUAAUUAUAACCAUUAAAAAUUCUCAGAGUGAGUUAGUUCAAUGGCCAUAUCUCUAUAUGCACCAUCUAUAUAUAUAAUUUAAUAAAUAAGAUCUAUUAAUCUUCAUCCAAUGAAAACCAUUAUAUAUAUAUAUAUAUUGAUCUUUCCGGAUUAUUAAUGUCAUUUUUAAUAAUCCUGUGACGAAGAACAAUUUAGAUUAAAUUAUAAAAGAUUUAUCUCUCAAUAUUAUGAUCACUAUCACAAUGAUAAAUCUCUAAAUUUAAUCAAGGACCUUAUUAUAUUAACAUUUUAAUAUAAUAACAAUAACAAAUUAUUUGAUACAUGAUUGAUUGGAUUGUGGUCAUACUCCUUAUUCCCAACAAUCUCCCACUUGCACGAGAGCCAAUCAUGAUAGAUUGGAUCUUGGGCAUACUAUCUCAAUAAUCUCCCACUUGCACUAGAGUCAAUCAAUCAUGUGUAUAAUUUUCAAUGCACAUUUGUGUUUAUCAAAACUCUUUUGACCUUAACAACUUAAGUUUUGAGCAUGUUUGCUUAACCUUUUGUAAAAUACACCUAGUGUAUUUAAGUUUCAUGCAUGUAAUCUGUUUUAAUAUGGAGGCUGAAGAAGGCUGACAGUGGCAAGGAAGCAGAAGACGUAGAAGACUGGGAGGGACAAAGGUCGAAGUAAAAGAUAAAUGGGCGGGUGAUCAGAAGGACAAAUGGGAGAACAUAGAGAGGAACUCGCAUUCGGUGUUCGUCGAUAAUUUACCAUGGGAGAUAUCUAAAGGGACUCUUUUUAAGGCGUUCGGAUGGGUCGGGGCAGUGACUGAUAUAUACAUCUCGAGGAAAAAGAGAAGAGGCGUUGCAUCUCCCUUUGCAUUUGUAAGGUUUGAUGCUAAAGGUGGAGCGGAAAAAAGGAUGACGGUGACUCAUGCAAGCUUCAACAAAGGACUAAGAAGGGAAAAGGAGCAACAAGGGGUAUGGAGCAGCAAGAAGAAAACAAAGAUAGAUAAUGUGAGAAGAUGCAAGGAGAUAGCGCAUAACCAAGAAUCACUGAGUGUGGCUAUUAAAGAGAAGGGUGAUGAAGAGCAAAUUGAAGUGAAGAUAUCGAGUACGAAGGGUGGGACCCAAUUUUUAAUGAGAUGAUAAAUAGGGAAUUGGAAAUCCCGCAGGAGAGUGUGGGAUAUAGUGCAUGGGUGGGCUGUGAUUAUUUCUAUGAGAAGAGCCGUUAUGGGGGAAGUAGUAAUAGUUAUAAAGUGGAGUUAAAUAUAAAGAGGGGUAAUAAAGGGGAUGACAUGAUGCAAGUGGCGAUGGAAAAGGAGAUGGAUAAUAGGAGAUGUGAAGUGAAGAAACAUUUGGGCUUGUGCUCUUGGCCCAUAUUAAGUGAAAAGGAAAUGAUAGGUGGUGUUGGGCCUUGUUUUUCUCAUUCUUGGACUGAACAAGGAACUAAGAAUUUAAAUCUUAGCUUGGAUGGGCCUCUUAAUCAAAGUUACGAAGGGGGUGGCCUUGUACAUGAAGAUGUCGAUAUACCACAAGGAUCAUAUCAAUCUUGCCCUUUUCCGCCAGGUUUUGGGCCAUGCUCAAGUACAAACCAUGUACACCAUCUUAUUACUAGGAAAAUCGUCAAUAUGAGUCCACAAAUAUCUCAUAUUGAGGGUGAGGAAGAGGAAGGGGCACCAGAUAAGAAUAGAGAGAGCGAUAAUGAAUCUUUGGAGCGACAUCAGCUACAACAUGUUUUUGAAGCCAAACUUUUGUGUGAGGAUGCUGGCAUGCGUUUUGAUGAAGAAGAUGAGACUCGGGUAGUGAAGCACCUCAAGAAAAUCGAAGGAAGACCGAUGAGCGGAGGGUACAAUUUGCGAUCAAAAAAUAAUAGUUCAAAGAGGAAUAAAGAGAAGAAGGGAUAUAGAUUGCCCCUAGUCCACUGUUCAGGUGAGAAUUUUUUCUGAUAUGUUAAUUGCUUUCUGGAAUAUAAGAGGUUUAGGAGGCACCGGGAAGAUUGAAAUGAUCAAAGGUUUGUGUAAAAAACAAAGGGUAGGUAUGAUUGGCUGAAUAGAAACUAAGAAGGAGCUUAUGACAAAGAGAGUAGAAAAAGGGAAGAGAUGGAUAGCAAUUAGGGGUAUUAUUAAAGAAGUAAAUUUGGAGGCGGCAGUGUGUGUGGUGUAUGGACCGCAUGACAAUGAAGGAAAAAUUGAAAUUUAGUCAGAACUGUGGGAAUUAAAGAGAGCCUGGAUAGUGCCAUUUGCGAUGGGAGGAGACUUCAAUGAGAUAUUGGAAGUGGAGGAUAGGUUCGGGUGUAACACGCUAACCCAGAACAGCUUACUGUUUAGGGAGUGGGUGGAGGCUAUGGAGUUAUUGGAACUGGAGUUACGGGAUCGAAAAUACACUUGGUAUGGAGGUCGCUCAUGUAGAAGAAUUGAUAGGGUGUUUAUUCAUGUUGAAUUGCAAGAAUGUUUUGAUAUAGUUCGUCUGAAGAUGCUGUCGAGAAGUUUAUCUGACCAUUGUCUAUUGUUGGUGGAUUCUGGAGUUGUCGAUUGGGGUCCUAAGCCGUUUCGAACGAUAGAUGCGUGGUUGACACAUGCUGGAUUCAAAGAAACAGUAAGAAAGGAGUGGGAGAAAUCAAGGGAAAGAAACUUAUUGGAAAAAUUAGACUUGUUGAAGCGACCUCUUAGAGUUUGGAAUAAAGAAAAAUUUGGAUCCAUCAACUGCCAAAUAGAGAAGAUAGAGUCUGAAAUUCAAAGUGUGGAUAAGUGCUUUGCUGAGGGUAUCCAAGAUGAGUGUCUACUUGCACGAAACAAGGCCUUGAAGAUUUUGUUGGAAAAAUGGUAUGAGCGAAAAGAUGAUUAUUGGAGACAAAUGUCAAGAUCGAGGUAUGCUACACCGCUAGAUCGAAACACCAAAUACUUUCAUGCGGUGACUAAGGUGAAAAGGAGGGGUAAGGUUAUGAAUUCAGUUUGUAUUGAUGGAGAAUAUAUAAGGGAGCCGUGCACAGUUAAAAGAGAGAUAAGACGGUAUUUUGAGAAUUUAUACAGGGAGGAUAAGCAUUUAUCAAUUGGGUUUGAUAUGUCCUUGGUAAAAAGGAUUAGCAGUGAAGACUCAAUUUUUUUGGAAAGGAAGCCAAAAAGAGAGGAAAUCAAGGGCGCAGUUUGGGAGUGCGAGCUGUCUAGAGCACCUGGUCCGGAUGGAUUCAAUUUCAAAAGUAUUAGAAACUUAUGGGACAUCAUAGGGGAAGACUUCAGUCAAGUGGUUGAGGAUUUUUUUUGAGAAGGGAAUUUUACCGAAGAAGGCCAAUUUGACAUGGGUUACUCUUGCUCAUAAGGAGGGGGGAUCGGACGAUCUGAAAGACUAUAGGUCAAUCAGUAUGGUUGGCUGUGUUUAUAAAGUGGUAGCUAAGAUACUAUCAAAAAGACUUCAACCAGUUAUGCCAGAAUUAGUAGGGGAGGAGCAAUCUGCUUUUGUGAGUGGGAGGAAGAUUGUUGACGGAGCUCUUAUAGUGUGUGAGGUAGUGCAUUGGAUGAGGAAAAAGAAGAUACCAGCUUGGUUAAUCAAGUUAGACUUUCAGAAAGCGUAUGACAGAAUUCGGUGGAGUUUUGUUGACAGAGUUUUGAAGAGCAUGUGUUUCGGCGAGGUGUGGAGAUCAUGGAUAAGGACUUGUUUAUCGACAGCAUCUAUGUCAGUGCUUGUGAAUGGGACAACAACUAAACCCUUUAAGUUAUAGCGGGGAUUGAGACAAGGGGACCCAUUGUCCUCUUUUCUUUUUGUUAUGGUGAGCCAGGUCCUAAAUAGUAUGUUGGGAAGAUUAUGUGAGAAGGGUCGGAUUAGAUCUCUUGACGUUGGUCAUAAUAGGGUUAGUAUUACGUAUCUUCAGUUUGCAGAUGAUACUAUCCUAUUUUGCCCGUGUGAUCACGAGUCCCUAAUGAGCUAUAGAAGACUGUUAGGAGGGUUCAAGCUAAUGAUGGGAUUGAAGAUAAACUACAACAAAUCUGUCUUGAUCGGAGUAAAUUAUAACAAUGAGGAGGUGGAGCUAGCUUGCAAGACGUUGGGUUGUAGAAAUGGGUCGCUACCUAUGAACUACUUGGGCAUUCCGUUAGGCGCCAAUCCAAGAAGAAUAGAAAUAUGAAAGCCAGUUAUUAGAAAGGUGGAAGAUAGGCUUAAGGGUUGGAAAAGUAGGUACUUGUCAAAAGCCGGAAAAUUGGUUUUAAUUAAGGAAGUCUUGAACAAUCUGCCUAUGUAUUAUUUGAACUUGUUUAAGAUGCCUAAAGCAGUCGUGACAAAGAUAACGUCUCUUCAGUCAAGAUUUUUCUGGGGAAAAAGUGAUGGAACGAAGGGGAUGUCAAUAGUGAGCUGGAGCCUAAUUCAAAAGCCAAAGAGUCAAGGCGGACUGGGUGUGAGAGAUCUAGUAUUAAAGAAUGCAGCACUCUUAUUCAAGUGGUGGUGGCGUUUUGACAAAGAGGAGUGCCCACUUUGGAAGAGAGUGGUGUGUUCAUGUAAUAAAUUGGAUUCUAAAAAGGGACUGGAGAAACAACAAAUGAAAAAUACAAGGAGUCUUUGGAAUACUAUUGGCAACUUGAGAUUUAGUGAAGCUGAGCUUUUUAGCAUUUUCUAUGAAGGUAUGCAGUUGCAAUUGGGAGAUGGAACUAGAACGCUUUUUUGGAACAAUGUUUGGAUGAAAGAUGGGAGGCUUAGAGACAGAUUCCCAAAUCUCUAUAGGGUAGCAGUUGAUAAGGCGUGCACCAUCAGUGAUUGUAGCUUUUGGGAUGGGUAUGUUUGGAGAUGGGGGUUGCAAUGGAGAAGAGCUUUGUGGUUGUGGGAAGAGCAAGAGCUGAGUGAGCUACAAACAGGCCUAACAAAGGUGGGGAUUCGACAAAGCGAAGUGGAUAAGCUGAUAUGGAAACAUGACAAGGAAGGUAAUUUCUCUGUAAAAUCUUUUUUGAAUGUGUUAUAUAAGAAUAAAAAUCUAGGACAAGAGCCAAAUAUGUUCAAUUUUUAUAACAAUUUGUGGAGGAGUUUGGUCCCUCCUCGUGUGGAGAUUUUUGUGUGGUUUGUAAUAUUAGAAAGAGUGAACACCAAAGACAAGUUAGUUAGAUGUGGAAUCUUACCAACAUCAGAAAUUACCUGUGUUAUCUGCGGCAAGGCACCAGAAUCUGUUCAUCAUCUAUUUUUCACAUGCGAAUAUGCAUGGAAACUGUGGGGUUCAGCUCUUAGGUUUUGGAAUAUACUUUGGGUUUGGGCAGGAGAUCCUAGACAAUGUUUUGAGUCGUGGAUACAUGGAGCGAAUAGGAAGGGUGAAAAAGAGGAUUGGAUGACAACUUUUUUUUGCUGUAAUUUGGUCUCUGUGGAAACAUAGAAAUGAUGUUGUCUUCAAGAAGGAAAACGUGAAUAUCUCUCUGUUAGAACAAGAUGUAUCGGGUUUGGUUCUAGUUUGGUCAAGAGACAGAAGACUUCGAAGAACAGGUGCUAAGAAUUGAGAUAAAUAAUAAAUUAUUGGUGUCUUGUCUCUUGUUGCAUGUGUGGUUGGAUUUAAUUCUUUAUCUUUUUGUUGUGAAAUGUUUGUUUUUUUUUUUUGUCUUUUUCUAGUUUCGUGAGGGUUGACUAGCUUUGUUUAGGCUUGGUUUUUGUUGUGUAGCCUUUUCUUUAAAGGUUGUAUCAGUUUAGAAAAAAUAUUAUCACUGCUAUGUACUUAUUUUUCGAUAAAAAAAAUAUGACAUUUUCUCAAAACAUGAAAUCUCCC